UUACAACGAGAAACCUAAAAUCAACGUAAAAUGGUCGUAAUCUGAAAAGAAUGAGAGAGUUCUGGAGGCCAUCACCGAGAACCAGGACAAUAUACCAAUUACAGAUACUCUAAUACAAAUAAGAAAUCUGUUAGCAUUUAAUUGAAGAAGGUACUAGCAAAAGUCAGCUUUCUCAGCUAAAAAACCCAAUUGCUUUCUCAGCAUUUAUUUUUACUUAUCUACACAAAAUAAGUAAAGAACCGAACAAAUAGAGCCUAAAAACAUGCUUCUGCUCUCCUAACAUAACUCAAUUUUCCAUGGCUUAUGUGCCAUUAUGUAGUUAGUCUAUUCAAAUAUUGGCAUUUAUGGUAUUCUCAUAAUGGUUGAGGCAAGCUGCCUGUGUAGAUAAGUCACACCCCUAUUAGGCCUUUUCAGUGGUUAGAUUACUUUACAUAUCAAAAACUUAAUAACAUGGAUAUAUC